rnacentral:rRNA from 1 species
GUAGUCCACGCUGUAAACGAUGUCGAUUUGGAGGUUGUGCCCUUGAGGCGUGGCUUCCGGAGCUAACGCGUUAAAUCGACCGCCUGGGGAGUACGGCCGCAAGGUUAAAACUCAAAUGAAUUGACGGGGGCCCGCACAAGCGGUGGAGCAUGUGGUUUAAUUCGAUGCAACGCGAAGAACCUUACCUACUCUUGACAUCCAGAGAACUUAGCAGAGAUGCUUUGGUGCCUUCGGGAACUCUGAGACAGGUGCUGCAUGGCUGUCGUCAGCUCGUGUUGUGAAAUGUUGGGUUAAGUCCCGCAACGAGCGCAACCCUUAUCCUUUGUUGCCAGCGGUUCGGCCGGGAACUCAAAGGAGACUGCCAGUGAUAAACUGGAGGAAGGUGGGGAUGACGUCAAGUCAUCAUGGCCCUUACGAGUAGGGCUACACACGUGCUACAAUGGCGUAUACAAAGAGAAGCGACCUCGCGAGAGCAAGCGGACCUCAUAAAGUACGUCGUAGUCCGGAUUGGAGUCUGCAACUCGACUCCAUGAAGUCGGAAUCGCUAGUAAUCGUAGAUCAGAAUGCUACGGUGAAUACGUUCCCGGGCCUUGUACACACCGCCCGUCACACCAUGGGAGUGGGUUGCAAAAGAAGUAGGUAGCUUAACCUUCGGGAGGGCGCUUACCACUUUGUGAUUCAUGACUGGGGUGAAGUCGUAACAAGGUAGCCGUAAAGGGC